CCUACGGGUGGCAGCAGUGGGGAAUAUUGCACAAUGGGCGCAAGCCUGAUGCAGCCAUGCCGCGUGUGUGAAGAAGGCCUUCGGGUUGUAAAGCACUUUCAGCGGGGAGGAAGGCGGUGAGGUUAAUAACCUCAUCGAUUGACGUUACCCGCAGAAGAAGCACCGGCUAACUCCGUGCCAGCAGCCGCGGUAAUACGGAGGGUGCAAGCGUUAAUCGGAAUUACUGGGCGUAAAGCGCACGCAGGCGGUCUGUCAAGUCGGAUGUGAAAUCCCCGGGCUCAACCUGGGGACUGCAUUCGAAACUGGCAGGCUAGAGUCUUGUAGAGGGGGGUAGAAUUCCAGGUGUAGCGGUGAAACGCGUAGAGAUCUGGAGGAAUACCGGUGGCGAAGGCGGCCCCCUGGACAAAGACUGACGCUCAGGUGCGAAAGCGUGGGGAGCAAACAGGAUUAGAUACCCGAGUAGUC
rnacentral:rRNA from 1 species